AGAGUUCGAUUAUGGCUCAGGACGAACGCUGGCGGCACGCCUAACACAUGCAAGUCGAACGAGAGAUGAGGAGCUUGCUCUUCAAAUCGAGUGGCGAACGGGUGAGUAACGCGUGAGGAACCUGCCUCAAAGAGGGGGACAACAGUUGGAAACGACUGCUAAUACCGCAUAAGCCCACGGCUCGGCAUCGAGCAGAGGGAAAAGGAGUGAUCCGCUUUGAGAUGGCCUCGCGUCCGAUUAGCUAGUUGGUGAGGUAACGGCCCACCAAGGCGACGAUCGGUAGCCGGACUGAGAGGUUGAACGGCCACAUUGGGACUGAGACACGGCCCAG
rnacentral:rRNA from 1 species